rnacentral:rRNA from 1 species
UACGUAGGGGCAAGCGUUGUCCGGAAUCAUUGGGCGUAAAGGGCUCGUAGGCGGCCAACUAAGUCAGACGUGAAAUCCCUCGGCUUAACCGGGAACUGCGUCUGAUACUGGAUGGCUUGAGGUUGGGAGAGGGAUGCGGAAUUCCAGGUGUAGCGGUGAAAUGCGUAGAUAUCUGGAGGAACACCGGUGGCGAAGGCGGCAUCCUGGACCAAUUCUGACGCUGAGGAGCGAAAGCCAGGGGAGCAAACGGG